UACAUUGCUUUUAUUAUUAUAGUUGGCUUGUAUUUUGGUUCAUUAUUUUUUUUAAAACUAAUAUUACUGUUUAAAAUAUUAACUACGACUAUAUAUCAAUAUUUAAUUUUAAAAUAAAUGUAAAUCAAAUAAAGAUCAAAAGAAUUUCUUCCGUUAUUUUCAUUUAUUACAUUUGCCAUCUGUAUCAUGGGGCUCGUAUAUCACUAAUCGAAGUGUUUACCGUUAAAAUGAUACGGUCCCGCUUCGCAUCGUGUUACAUGGAGCCUUGUGCCACCUUUAUCAGCCGUCGGUCUACUACGUGUACCAUAUGGUAGUUUGACUGACCAGCACCGCGUGCCAAUAGCCACGGCACUAAGUCCAGCAGCAAGUGACGCACGUCCGACAACGACCCGCCGUAAAUAUACCUUGAAGUGACUUCGUGACACCGCUCUACGCGGAUCGCUCUAAAAAUACCGCUCUACACGGUUCGCUUUAAAAAGCCCGCUCGACGCAUCUAUUCACCGUCCACUACGAUGUCGACACUUCGUUUACGCUACACCUUAUUAGCUCUGUAAUAUUCUUAUUGUAGUUGUCAUUAUCUAGUUAUGUACACUUGGGAUUACUUUUUUGUUGUUGCAAUAAAUAUUUGUCACUUCCGGUGCAACUCGGUGACGCCUACCUUAUUACGUAUCAACUAAACUCUAACAAAAAUCUUCGAUGCGAAUUACGUAGAUUGCUUUAUUCAAAAAAAAUUAUUUUAAAAAAAAGGGUACGUACGCUCUGUAGUGUUUAUUUUUGUGACUCUGAAAAAAACAACCUCGUAUAACUUAAAAGAGUAGUCUCCGGGUAUUAGUUUGAGAAGAGUUGUGGCUGCAUCUUUUAGAAAAACUGACCGGUAGCCUUUUAGGGGUAUGAAGUUUAGUAUGAACCAUGAAAAUUCAACUAAUAUCAAUAUUAUACUAAUUUUGUUAAUCCAUGUUUAGACGUGGGUAUACAUGGCCUGAGUCCGAAUACUCGACAAUUAGUGUGAACUGUCAAUGGAAGUAACUGGUAGCACUAAGGAAGAAGAGCUCUCUCACUGGUUGGUUUCCAAGGAAGACUAUGUCCAAAUUCCCAACUAGGAAUACGGUUGCGGAUAGGCUUUGUAGUGGCUAUGACAGGAGUGUUAUGGAAUAUCAAAGCUAAUUCAUUCUCGUGACAUUACUAUCACAAUUGUUGACCUGUAUAUAUGUAUUUAAACAUUUAUUGGCUUAUUUAGAGGUUUAAUUAAAACAAGUUUUACAGUGAUUUUUUUUUUGGUGAACUUAUCUAUAUAACGUCAUAAUAGUAAUAAUAAUAGUUGUGAUUUAAAUUAUAAAAUAUUCAUAAUUAUAUAUAAUAUAUUGUAUAUAAAUAUUUGUUAAUCCUUAGUAAAAUAUAUGUUUCUUUAAGUUUCAUAAUGAAAACAAACAUUUAUUUACAAUAAUAUUAAAUCCGUAAAUUGCACGAAAAAUAAUUUAUUACUUGAGUACUUAAAUGCAUUUUUGAUAAUUAUCAAUUAUGAUUCGAUUCUAGUUCAGGUGAGUUAUCUUGCUAAAAUUUUAUCCAACUGCAGAAAAAGAGGUUGCACCAGGAGGAAUUAUUAUUCUAAAAUAAUAUUUUUUUUAUAUUUACUUAUUUCUUAUCUACUUAAAAAAUUUUUAGUUAUGGUGACUUAACUUACAUUGGAUUGUAGCAGCAUUGGAUGCUACCAACAGUUUGACCAUUACAUGACGAUGGACCAUCUGCUAAUGUAUAGUUUUCAUAAGGUGGACAUAUGAAGUUUGGAUUGUCCUUACAAAGUGCAA